rnacentral:tRNA from 1 species
UCCCUGGUGGUUCAGUGGUAACACUCUGCGCUUGUAAUGCAGAGGGCACAGGUUCAAUCCCUGGUUGGAGAA